UGGACAUUCUGUAUUUCCCGGGAGGCUAACAUUCGGAACGUGGGACAGAAUUGAGAACUCUGUGACUCAGAGCUGGAGUCCUGAGGGCUGAUGUCACACAGCCUGCGUCCUGCUGAGUCUGAGGGGCCCGGCGGGGGCUUGUCCAUUCUCGAGCUCUGGCCGAAGACGGCGCUUCUGAGAGUCAGGCAGCUCAGGACGGCUGGACUCGAAGCGUGCUCACCGUUUGGACUGUGUGCGUUUCUCUCGGAGCAAUCUUCUCCCCUGUUAUUGCUAAGCCUCUGAGAGGACUGGCUUCUCAAGGCUCAGAGAGUUUGAUUAACCCAAUUGCUUAUUCCAGGUGGGCGCUUGGCGUCAAGAUGAUUAAGAUGAUUGAUUUAGAGACUAUGAUUGCCAUUGGCGGCGGCUUACUGAUCGCGGCCUUUCUGCUGAUGUGCUGUGUCAUCUGUCUUUACUGCAAAGUGGCCAACACAUUGAAGUGAAUGACGAAAAUAUGACAGCCAGCGGCAUCGACACAAAAGGCAGGCGCCUCGGUUUGGAAGAAGGCCGUCCUGGGACAGCCGCCUCCUCGCCCUCCGCUGCCAGGCACCUAAGGACAAGCUUCCGAGAGCCGCGCUGUGCCGAGUGUCGUCAAAAGAGGGGUGCGCUCCCCUGCAGCGCCCCAGCCCUGUCUGGGAAGUACAGACUCGCCCCGUGCAGCUCAGUGGCCUCCUGACUGUUCUUUCCAGGUGUUCUCGGGCCCCUGAGGGCAGGAGCGGUGCUAGCUCUGAUCCCAGGCACGAGAGAGGGCCUGGAGCUCAUCAGGUGUCGGGCAGUGACUCCAAUCACAGCUUCGCAGUGCGGGCACCCUCUCCACCAGGUGGACCUCGGAACGCAGACACAGCAGUAACCUUGUGAACAAUGCUGAACAAUGUUAUUUUGCUUAUUGAUAGGAAUGUGUUGCACAGUGCUUAUUAAUCACACACACUAAGCUCUUGCUCCUGCUCCAGGAUGUUGUAGAAGCACUUUCCUGAGUUGCAGUGGAAACAUCCAGGAGGCAACAGUUCAAACCUAUCAGCAGGUGGGGAAACUGAAGCUCAGAGGGCAGGAGUGACUCUCCUGGUGUCCGGAGCCUGGGGCCUGGCUCUGAGCGUUUUACUUACAACCCCUCCUGCUUACCCAUCCGCUUCCGGAGCUUCCUGACCCCCCUGGACGGUUAACUUGCUCCCUAACCCCAGCAAAGAAGUCCAGGUGCCAACCAUUCUGGAAGGGCUGGUGGCCGUCCUUGCCCUAUUGAUACCUGCAUGGGGGCUCGUGCAUGGUGAUGCUGCAGGAGUGUGGGGGUGAUGGGAGCUAGGGGCUGCGUAGCACAGAGGGGAAGAGGGGGCAGCUGAUGGUUCAGAAGCAGUGAGGUAGUGUUGUGGUAUCAUCUGGGUUACAAAGGGCUUGUUUCAUUCUGAAUGGAAAAUUCUGUGAUUCACACUCACCAGGCCUGUCACCAGGUUAGUUAUGAGACUGAGUGCCCAGCCUGCGACUAACAUCAGGAUCAGAGGCGUUCGUUAUCCUUUUCCCCCAGCCUCUGCCCAAACACCCCAAAUCCUACAAAAACUGCAUCUCUGUUGGCAGAAAGUAGCCCAGCUCCCUGACCACGUGAGCCUCUGAGCCACCCAUGACCAGCCGGGUUCCAUCUCUGUGCCCGGCAGACAGCCUCUUCCUCCGAGUCUAGUCUGCCUCCGGACCGCCAGGUGCUGGAGCUCCAGAUGAAGGCCUGGGGCCCUGGGGGACCCCACUACGUGGAGGGUCGGUCUGACACUCCUGUGUGAACACCCGUGUCUACAGCUCCUGCAGCUGAGUCAGCCCGUCUAGAUCUGACUCCUGACUAACCUGUGAGUGGCAUUUAAUUCUAAGGCUAAUUUUCCUUGCAAAACGGACCCGCCUGGUAGGGCUGUUUUGAGGAUUCAAUGAGAUGUUAAAGAGAAUCGUUUGUCACUAAACAUUAAUCCAAGAGAGGAUAAAAGAUAUGACUUUCUCCUCUUAGUAAGGACUGGGCAUAUCUUGUAAGCAGGACAGAUCUUACCAACAAGACUGAAAGAACAAUUGCCAGGGCAAAUACAUUUCUGC
rnacentral:lncRNA from 1 species